rnacentral:rRNA from 1 species
GUCUUUUUGUAAUUUAUUUAAAGUCUAAUCUGCCCACUGAUUAAUUGAAUGGCCGCAGAAUUUUAACUGUGCAAAGGUAGCAUAAUCAUUAGUCUUUUAAUUGAAGGCUUGUAUGAAUGAUUGAACGAGAUAUAAACUGUCUCAAUUUAAUAGGUAGAAUUUUAUUUUUUAGUUAAAAAGCUAAAAUAAUUUUGAAAGACGAGAAGACCCUAUAGAUCUUUAUAUUACUAUUUAUGAUUUUUUUGAGGAAUUAAUUGAAUAUUAUAAAUUGUAAUAUUUUAUUGGGGUGAUAUUGAAAUUUAAUUAACUUUCAAUAAUUUAAUACAUAAAUUAAUGAUUUAUUGAUCCUUUAUUAUUGAUUAAAAAUUUAAGUUACCUUAGGGAUAACAGCGUAAUUAUUUCGGAGAGUUCAUAUCGAUGAAAUAGAUUGCGACCUCGAUGUUGGAUUAAGAUUAAUUUUGGGCGUAGCAGUUCAAGAUAUUAAGUCUGUUCGACUUUUAAUUUCUU